GACAGAGGCUGCGAACGUUGUUCGGAAUUACUGGGCGUAAAGCGCAUGUAGGCGGCAGCGCAAGUCGGGCGUGAAAUCCCACGGCUCAACCGUGGAAGUGCACUCGAAACUGCGCAGCUAGAGUCCUGGAGAGGAAGGUGGAAUGCUUGGUGUAGAGGUGAAAUUCGUAGAUAUCAAGCGGAACACCGGUGGCGAAGGCGGCCUUCUGGACAGUGACUGACGCUGAGGUGCGAAAGCGUGGGGAGCAAACAGG
rnacentral:rRNA from 1 species